rnacentral:rRNA from 3 species
AAUCCAUAGGUUAAUGAGGCGAACCGGGGGAACUGAAACAUCUAAGUACCCCGAGGAAAAGAAAUCAACCGAGAUUCCCCCAGUAGCGGCGAGCGAACGGGGAGGAGCCCAGAGCCUGAAUCAGCAUGUGUGUUAGUGGAAGCGUCUGGAAAGGCGCGCGAUACAGGGUGACAGCCCCGUACACAAAAGCGCAUGUGCUGUGAGCUCGAUGAGUAGGGCGGGACACGUGGUAUCCUGUCUGAAUAUGGGGGGACCAUCCUCCAAGGCUAAAUACUCCUGACUGACCGAUAGUGAACCAGUACCGUGAGGGAAAGGCGAAAAGAACCCCGGCGAGGGGAGUGAAAAAGAACCUGAAACCGUGUACGUACAAGCAGUGGGAGCCCCACCACCAAAGCAUUUGCUGUACCGCGUUGACGGAGCGAAGCGACGUCAAACCGAUA